rnacentral:snRNA from 1 species
AUACUCUGAUUUCUCUUCAGAUCGUAUAAAUCUUUCACCUUUUAUUAAAGACUUCCAUGGAGAGGAAUAUUUAUGAGUUUUUAACUAAUUUUUUGAGGCUCU